rnacentral:rRNA from 1 species
CCCGCGGCCUAUCAGCUUGUUGGUGGGGUAAUGGCCUACCAAGGCGACGACGGGUAGCCGACCUGAGAGGGUGACCGGCCACACUGGGACUGAGACACGGCCCAGACUCCUACGGGAGGCAGCAGUGGGGAAUAUUGCACAAUGGGCGGAAGCCUGAUGCAGCGACGCCGCGUGAGGGAUGAAGGCCUUCGGGUUGUAAACCUCUUUCAGCAGGGACGAAGCGUGAGUGACGGUACCUGCAGAAGAAGCACCGGCUAACUACGUGCCAGCAGCCGCGGUAAUACGUAGGGUGCGAGCGUUGUCCGGAAUUACUGGGCGUAAAGAGUUCGUAGGCGGUUUGUCGCGUCGUUUGUGAAAACCCGGGGCUCAACUUCGGGCUUGCAGGCGAUACGGGCAGACUUGAGUGUUUCAGGGGAGACUGGAAUUCCUGGUGUAGCGGUGAAAUGCGCAGAUAUCAGGAGGAACACCGGUGGCGAAGGCGGGUCUCUGGGAAACAACUGACGCUGAGGAACGAAAGCGUGGGUAGCAAACAGGAUUAGAUACCCUGGUAGUCCACGCCGUAAACGGUGGGCGCUAGGUGUGGGUUCCUUCCACGGGAUCUGUGCCGUAGCUAACGCAUUAAGCGCCCCGCCUGGGGAGUACGGCCGCAAGGCUAAAACUCAAAGGAAUUGACGGGGGGCCCGCACAAGCGGCGGAGCAUGUGGAUUAAUUCGAUGCAACGCGAAGAACCUUACCUGGGGUUUGACAUACACCGGAAAACCGUAGAGAUACGGUCCCCCU